AAUGAACGCUGGCGGCGUGCUUAACACAUGCAAGUCGUACGAGAACUCUUUAGCUUGCUAGAGAUAGUAAAGUGGCGUACGGGUGAGUAACACGUGGGUAAUCUACCUCCGAAUUGGGGAUAACAUUGCGAAAGCGAUGCUAAUACCGAAUAACAUCUUUUUAGCUUCGGCUUUGAAGAUCAAAGGUGGUCACUACAUGUAAACUACUGUUUGGAGAUGAGCCCGCGCACCAUUAGCUUGUUGGUAAGGUAACGGCUUACCAAGGCUUCGAUGGUUAGCUGGUCUGAGAGGAUGAUCAGCCACACUGGAACUGACACACGGUCCAGACACCUACGGGUGGCUG
rnacentral:rRNA from 1 species